ensembl:lncRNA
GGUUAUUAUUACAGCGAUAAAUGAAUUAUCGAUAAAUCUGAACCUAAUGUUACUCAUCAAAUAUCUCUUAAAAAAUGAAUGAGUCAGAACUCUUUCCUCUUGUCCUCUUUCUCAUUAGAGACCUUGGCAAAUCUGUUUUUUGUUAGGUUUCUGUUUAGCAUUAAACAUUUAUGCUCCCCACUAAUUCUUUGUAAGUCCUUCAUAGGCUACAAAAGAGCUGCUAUGUAAUCAUCUCUACUGCAGUUUGCUUAAAUCCCGUCUCUAAACCAUCUGCUCAGUUUACUCAAGCAUAAUAAAGGAUUAUGGCACUGGAUUAUGGGGGGGCCUUGUUAACAAACCAUAAUACUACAGAGAAGGCUUAGAUAAACAUGUAUAGCUGAAUUUUACGAUGCAAGACUGCAAUUCUGGACCUCUGCUCAUAUGGUCUUCUUAAACCAUUCACAUCACUCUUGGUCUGAAGUCAAAAAAAUGCUGGCACUAAUAACUCAGAGAUGAUGUAGAAGAGAAGCAGUGUGGGGGAAGAAAGCCAAACACCUGGCACACAGAGAGAAAUAGAAAGAGAGAGAGGCACUAAUGGGAUAUUAAUAACUCUUUUAUGAGGCUGAAAUUACAUUACUGUGCUGGCAACAAUGUCCACUAUUUUGAAAGCAGAGCUGAGGUGUGUUUAAAUUGACUUUUCUUUUUUUUUUAUCAUCUGCGAACUAAAUUGUGCAAACCACAAAGAAGCAGAAGGAUGUGCUUGAACAUUUACAAACGCCAUUGUGCUGUAGAACAAAUUGCUGCUGCUAUUACCUGCCUGUUUGAAUGUGAUGGGCCAGUGGAGCAAAUAUUUAGUGUUUGUUUUACUCUUCAGGCAGAUCGAUGUAUAAACAAGUGGAUGGACACAUAAUUGGCAAAACUCCAUAAUGAAAUGAAGGGGUCGAGUAACACAAUCCAUGUACAAUGCAUCAUUCUUUUAAACACAGUACAUAAUUUGAGUAGUGGUGUAAAGGACACCAUGGUAGGAAUUUUCAUGGUUUUCAGAAAAUGUUCUUUUGUGUGUCCAUUACUGGACAUUGUUAAUGGACACAUUAAAUAAACUAGUUAGAGUGUGAAAAAUGUAUUUUAUGUUUCUGAAAGUCCACAGGGCCAAAAGUGCAUUAUGGUACCCAUAAUGAUUUUACAUCAGAUAGCGCAUAACAAUAUCGAAAUUUACAAUGUGACAGAAGUAGGGACAGAUGUUUUUUCACCACAUAGUGUGACAUCUGAGUGAAUGUGGGGUUAUGCAGAUAAAAUUAUUUGAGAAUCGUAUCACUAAGAUGCAUUCCAUGCCAACUUUAAAGAAAGAUAGCAUUAGCACACUUAUCAAGAAAAACAAAGUAUUUAGACACUUUCUGGUUGUCAGAUAAAACAUAGUUAGUAAAAAAAUUGUAACCUGUGGUUACUCUGAUGGUUACAAUUAUAGUUUAUAGUUACAAUUAUAGUUAUGUUAUAUAUAUAGUUUAUCUUAGUUAAUUUUUUUGGGUGCUUUCUAAAUUUGACAGGCAGCUGUUUCACAUUACUCACUGUGCGUAAAGGAUCUUUUCAUCUUCUUCUCCACCUUGAACCACCAUUGUUAAUGCUCAAGGACAUUUUCAUCUGACGUUGCCAUCCCUGGCCUGGUGAACCAACACCAUUUAUAGCUUCCCUUCAUCAUUUUUUUCCCUCACCAUUUUUCAUUGCCAUUUCAGCCAUUCAUUAGAGCAAGUAUUGAAUAAAAAUAACUGAAAAAGACCCCA